UUACAGUCAUAUCAUGUUGAAACUCUGGUUCUCGUACAAGCAUUGAAGUUAAGCAAUGUCAGGCCUGGUUGGUAACUAGAUGGGUGACCACUUGGGAAUGCCAGGAGCUGAAA